ACAUUAUCACUCAACACUGCAUACCUGGGCAGAGCUUUACUUUUACAAAGUAUUUCCGCAGACACUUUAUCAUUCGGUCCUCUCAGCAGCCCAACGAAGAGAGGCAGAGCAAAAAUUCCAGAGGAGCUCAAACGAAGAUCUUGUUCUGGUGUCAGAAGAGGGAACCAAAGGAGACCCCCAAGGGCCCCCAGGGGCACCGAGCAACCAGAUGUAGUAGAUGCAUAAUAGUCUCCAUCACUUUCAGCCCCACCUGGAUGCAGGCCUGCCUCAGGACCCAGCCCAUGUCAGCCUGGCUGGAAGCUGUUUAUUUAUGGCUGCAAAUGUGUGUGUGCAAGAGAGAGGGAGAAUUGAUCUUUGCCUGGACUUAAAGAUGGAGCCGAAGGCGCUGGAGGGAAUUUGGGUUUGUGCGUCUGGCUCAGACCCUGGGCGCCGAACGGGGCCGCUUGGCAUGGAGCCCGAGGUCUUUCUUUGCCGCACCCCUCACCUCGAGACCUUGCAGGAAUCCGCGGGCCCAGGAGCGGCCUGACGGGCCCAUCUGCCCCGGGCCCGGCUGCCGAGAAAGGCUUCGUGGAGGGGGCCAUCCAGUCCCUGUCUUUAAAAUGAGCGCAAUAAAAGGGGGCAAAUCCUCAAACGCGAACCUGAUCGCUUGUCACAGAAGCAACUUGCCAUGAAAUCCGCUAAUGCGCCGCGACUCGCCCACCGGGAUCAGUAACCCCCGGCAUUGGGGUAACCAGCGCGCGCCCAAUGCAGUCGUAUUCCUCGAAUGCGCGCACCGCCCGCCACACUUGGAGAAUCCAGACCACAGAGGUUUCGGAAACCCCAUUUUCCUGAUUGCAGCCCAGACUCUGGAACCCCGCAAGCCUUCCGGGGAAGCGAGCCCAAUCCAGACCAAGCAGACCUCUGGCGCUGCCGGGUUCGUACAACCACUAAAGCAGCGUCAUCUUGAGAGUUAUUUUGGGGAAAAAGACCUGGGACCUGGGUUUGAGUUAAAGACGUUAGAGGCAAGGGACAGAUGGCCCAGCAUUUCUUUGGAACGAGGCAGAACUGAGAACUACCCAGCUGGACCAGCAUUGCCGAAAACUGGAGAUUAGGAAAUGUGUUCUCCUCGCACACACAGUAGCACACAUCUCCUCCGACGGCGAGCUCACCCCUACGCCAGGGGCCUCUGGCUCCGCCGCUGCGUUUCCCAGACGCCCUUUCGGCCUCCUCCAAGUUUUGCCAGGCAAAUGAAACGAGCAGAACUCGAUGGUAAAUUAUUUUGUUCAGCCUUCCGUCUUUUUAUAAAAAUAAAAGGCAACACUUUGUCAUUUUUAAUCAUAUAAGCAGACAAUAAACCUAAUUUCGAUAUU
rnacentral:lncRNA from 1 species